rnacentral:rRNA from 1 species
UACAGAGGUCCCAAGCGUUGUUCGGAUUCACUGGGCGUAAAGGGUGCGUAGGUGGUCGGGUAAGUCUGAGGUGAAAUCUCCGAAGCUCAACUCGGAAACUGCCUUGGAUACUAUCCGGCUUGAGGGUUGGAGGGGGGACUGGGAAUUCUCGGUGUAGCAGUGAAAUGCGUAGAUAAUCGAGAGGAACACCAGUGGCGAAGGCGAGUCCCUGGACAAGCUCCUGACGCUGAGGACGAAAGCGUGGGGAGCGAACAGGA